CUUUGUUCCCCGCUGGUUCCCCCGUCACUAUUCCUCAACUGUGUACACAUUUUUUCUGUUAGAACAAAGGACCAUGGGGAAGACCCCGAACUUGCUGGGAAUAUCUUCACUGGCUUUAACAUCCCCAAGCAUGGGCUGGAGAAUGUUUCUGGGAAGAGGGAUUUCCAGUUUCACUCCUGGACCUGUUACUUCCCCAGCGCAAAUUCAGAUAAUCAGAAAAUGAUGGAUGGAUGGAUGGAUGGAUGAGCCAGCAGCAUUUAUAUAUUGCCUCUGUUAAAGUGAAUCAACAAGCUCCAUCUUGCCAUUACCAAAAAAUCUUUAUAUUAUAUUUCAUGGAAUGUCAGGCAACAAUCUUAAUAAACCAAUCCUUCAUUGAUCUUCAGUGGAGAGAACCAACUACUGA